UACAGAGGUCCCGAGCGUUGUUCGGAAUUACUGGGCGUAAAGGGUGCGUAGGCGGUCUUAUAAGUCAGUGGUGAAAUCUCUCAGCUUAACUGAGAAACUGCCAUUGAUACUGUAGGACUUGAGUACAGAUGAUGUUGGCGGAAUAUGACAUGUAGCGGUGAAAUGCAUAGAUAUGUCAUAGAACACCGAUUGCGAAGGCAGCUGACAAAACUGUAACUGACGCUGAGGCACGAAAGUGUGGGGAUCAAACAGG
rnacentral:rRNA from 1 species